UGACAAGUAUCCUACAGUCUAGUCUUGUCUAGAUGAGCAAAAACAGCAAAGAGCUGUGCAGGAUGAGCUGCAGUGUUUACCGAGUUGUGGAUUGGAAACUUGAAUCUCCAGUACAAAUCUCUGAGACGAUCAUUGGAGUUAAAGCCUCUU